UACGUAGGGUGCAAGCGUUGUCCGGAAUUAUUGGGCGUAAAGAGCUCGUAGGCGGUUUGUCGCGUCUGCUGUGAAAUCCCAGGGCUUAACCCUGGGCCUGCAGUGGGUACGGGCAGGCUAGAGUGUGGUAGGGGAGACUGGAAUUCCUGGUGUAGCGGUGGAAUGCGCAGAUAUCAGGAGGAACACCGAUGGCGAAGGCAGGUCUCUGGGCCACUACUGACGCUGAGAAGCGAAAGCAUGGGGAGCGAACAGG
rnacentral:rRNA from 1 species